rnacentral:rRNA from 1 species
GACGAACGCUGGCGGCGUGCUUAACACAUGCAAGUCGAACGGUAAGGCCCUUCGGGGUACACGAGUGGCGAACGGGUGAGUAACACGUGGGUGAUCUGCCCUGCACUUCGGGAUAAGCCUGGGAAACUGGGUCUAAUACCGGAUAGGACCACUGCCUGCAUGGGUGGUGGUGGAAAGCUUUUGCGGUGUGAGAUGGGCCCGCGGCCUAUCAGCUUGGUGGUGGGGUGAUGGCCUACCAAGGCGACGACGGGUAGCCGGCCUGAGAGGGUGACCGGCCACAGUGGGACUGAGGUACGGCCCAGAUUCCUGCGGGUGGUAGCAGUGGGGAAUAUUGGACAAUGGGCGCAAGCCUGAUGCUGCGACGCCGCGUGAGGGAUGACGGUCUUCGGGUUGUAAACCUCUUUCAGCACCGACGAAGCGCAAGUGACGGUAGGUGCAGAAGAAGGACCGGCCAACUACGUGACAGCGGCCGCCGUAA